rnacentral:rRNA from 1 species
UCCGGUUGAUCCCGGCGGAGGUCACUGCUAUCGGUGUUCGACUAAGCCAUGCGAAGUUCAAAUGUUCUUCGUGAACAUGGGCGUACUGGCUCAGUAACACGUGGAUUACCUACCCUUAAGGGUUCUGGCAUUAACCCCGGGAAACUGGGGAUUAUUCCGGAUAAGAUCAUAGAUGCCUGGAAUGCCCUGUGAAUCCAAAGCCUUUGUGCCUAAGGAUGGGUCUGCGGUCUAUCAGGUUGUAGUGGGUGUUAUGUACCUACUAGCCUACGACGGAUACGGGUUGUGGGAGCAAGAGCCCGGAGAUGGAUUCUGAGACAUGAAUCCAGGCCCUACGGGGCGCAGCAGGCGCGAAAACUUACAAUGCGGGAAACCGCGAUAAGGGGGACACCGAGUGCCCCAG